rnacentral:rRNA from 1 species
GACGAACGCUGGCGGCGUACCUAAUACAUGCAAGUCGAACGCAGUGGGGACGGGUGAUUAACACGUUGGUAACCUCCCAUCAGCAGGGAUAACACUUGGAAACAGGUGCUAAACCGAACACUGCUGGAUGGACCAGCGGGGCAUUAGGUAGUUGUAGAGGUAACGGCUCACCAAGGCCACGAUGCCUAGCCGACCUGCGAGGGGGACGUGCCACACUGGGCCUGAGACACGUCCCAGAAUCCUCCGGGAGGCAGCAGCAGGGAAGCUUCGUCAAUGGACGAAAGUCUGACCGAGCAACGCCGCGUGAGUGAAGAAGGUUUUCGGAUCGUAAAACUCUGUUGUUAGAGAAGCGGUAUCUAACCAGAAAGCCACGGCUAACUCCGUGCCAGCAGCCGCGGUAAUUC